rnacentral:lncRNA from 1 species
UAUAGGAAACUGGCAAUGAGGGCAAGGCUUCGUGUUACUUUCGAUCCAAGAAACGCUCAGCGACUCUGAUAACUUCCCCAAGUCUCUCAACCAAUCAGAAGCGUUGUUGCACGUCACAGGUCUGUGCGACUCAAGGCUGCACCUCCCGCAAAAGGUAUGACCACAUAGACACACAACGUUUAGACCAUACUCGUCAAAAUAAAUGUCUCGGUGAAACUCGAUGAAGUAACCGCAACCCGGCGAAGGACAACGUCUGAUCGUCAAACCCUUGUUUUGUUCCAGGAAAGAUCUGAGAACGUACUCGUUGUGCAUGCCUUUAGCCUCCAACGUUAGCAUAGCUAGGUUUUUCUCCACGGAGAAGAAGCUAUCGUUAUAGUUCGAAUCGGUUAUCAAACCCGAUCGCAUCAACAGCUUCUCCUUGUCUUCGCUCAAACGCUCCGAAACGCGUUGCGAGUCCCACUGGAGAUUCAUGAGGAGUACGGUCGCAGCGGGUUUUGAGAGCAAGAAGAUCUCGGAGAGAUCAUCGAUCUGUUUGUUCAUCUUCUCGUUGAGAUCGUCCCUAGUGAGAACAGAGUACUCUCGCUCUGGAUCGUGCUCCAUGUUUGCUUUUCUUGAAGUUGACGAAGAUAGGAAAGAACGAAUCACCAAGAGGGCAGAUGAUCGAUUAAGGAAACAGGGUUCAUGGUUUACCAAAGACUUCCGUUUUUAUAGGAAAUCUAGGGUUUCACACGGCUUCGCUAUAUUCCUUUUUGAAAAAGUAAACUAAGCCCAUUGGGCCUUAGUCUUAGCUGAUUUUUCCUUUUUUUGAUGGAUAAAGGUUAAUUAGUUGUUGUUCAAAAAAAAAAAAAGGUUAAUUAGUUUUAUUUUAGUAUUAAAAAUAUGCAAGUGAUUAACUAUCGACUUGAAUUUGAUGGUCAAAAAUAGAUUUGUUAAACCAGAUUCUAAUGGUUUCCUUUUCCACUGCCUUGGCGUAGAUAAAAAGCAGAUUUUCUUUGAUAAUGAAACCUGGCCCAUUGGGCCUUAAUAUUAUUUGAUUUUUUCCUUUUUCGGCUGGAAAAAAGGUUUAAUAACCCAACAUUAUUCUAUUCCUAUAUUUGAUAAUUGAUUACAGCUCCACUUGAGAAACUGUCGGCAUUGAACAAUCAGCAUCAAGCCUUCUCUCAUGUUCCGUAUGUACUCUUGGCUAGUGAAGUGGGAUUCGUCGAAAGAUUCUAGCUCGGACUUGGCUUCCACCAUUGCGACAUCACUCGCCUCCCAUCGAUCCACACACGUAACGACAACCGCUUCUGGUCCGUUCGCGAGUUGUGGUAGCAACGGUCCAACACAGGCUCCAUAGUAUCCGUCUGCCGUUUUGUGGGACUCCACUGUCUGCAUACACUCGCUACAUAAACGACCACUACAAACAAGAGAGUAAACACACAGGUUAGUUUAUGAUUAGUCAACACUAAAAAUCGGUCAUGGCAGCAAAACGUUUCUCAAAUUUUUAUUUUAAAAAAAAUCAGUUUAAGCUGCGUCUAAGCAGUAAUCUCCUAUAAAAAAACUAAUUAAAGCCUAACGAUUUCUAGAACAUUGUUAACAAUUAAUAAGAGAACCAUGACAAUCUAAUAAGAUCUAUUUUCUUUUAACCAACCUGCAGUUUAAGCGCUGCUUAGGCACUAAUCUAAUUAAAGUCUUAACGAUUGUUUAACAUUUAAUAAAAGAAACAUGACAAUCUUAGAACUAUUUUUUUUUACCAACCUAGGCACUAAUCUAAUUAAAGCCUAAUGAUUUCUUGAACAUUGUUAACAUUUAAUUAGAGAAACAUGACAAUUUAAUAUCAGUUUUUUUUACCAACCUGCAGGCACUAAUCUAAUUAAAGCCUAAUGAUUUUCUUCAACAUCAUUAACACUUAAUUAGAGAAACAUGACAAUCUAAGAUCAGUUUUUUUAUUUUUACCAACCUGCAGUAGAGACAUUCCACAAACCGGAACAGCCUUGAACGAGAACCAACCUCUAUAGGAAACUGGCAAUGAGGGCAAGGCUUCGUGUUACUUUCGAUCCAAGAAACGCUCAGCGACUCUGAUAACUUCCCCAAGUCUCUCAACCAAUCAGAAGCGUUGUUGCACGUCACAGGUCUGUGCGACUCAAGGCUGCACCUCCCGCAAAAGGUAUGACCACAUAGACACACAACGUUUAGACCAUACUCGUCAAAAUAAAUGUCUCGGUGAAACUCGAUGAAGUAACCGCAACCCGGCGAAGGACAAC